CCUGAGAAACCCAAAAGAUCGAAUGGGGAGAUUCAUCGUCAGCGAUUUCGGCACGCGCGCGGAUUGCGAUGCCGGAGACUUCGGUUUCCGAGCACGCGUUCGCACGUUUUACAUUGCCUUAAACGUCGGCGUGCACUUCUCCCCUAGUAGGACGUCGCGACCCGUUGGGUGUCGGUCUACGGCCCGGGCGGUAGCCUGUCUCGUGUACGCUUCACGGCGUUACGCGGUUCAGACCCCCGGUUGCCUGACCGGCUGCUCGGCGGUACGCGCACGGUAUCUGGCCGCAAAUAUUCGAACUGCGUCCGGCCCGUCGCAAGCGAGGCAAGUGUUUCCCGGCUGUACGGAUCUAAUGCCGUCACCGGGCCUUGCCAGCUGUUGGUUGACGGUGUCCUGGGACAGGCCAAUGCAAUUAUGAUACCGGUCGGCGACGCUACUGCUUUGGGUACUUUCAGGACCCGUCUUGAAACACGGACCAAGGAGUCUAACAUGUGCGCGAGUCAUUGGGUAUUAUUAAGCCUAAAGGCGCAAUGAAAGUGAAGGUCGGCCUUGCGCCGACCGAGGGAGGAUGGGCCGCGUCACGAUGCGGUCCCGCACUCCCGGGGCGUCUCGUUCUCAUUGCGAGAAGAGGCGCACCCAGAGC
rnacentral:rRNA from 1 species